AAAAGAAGAGAAGAAUGAAACACCGAUAAGAAGUUGCUACUGCCGUGUUCCAUCCACAGUAGCAUAACCGAUGCGUACUCCCCAGGGCCAGCACAUGCUUUACAUCCAGCAUGUUCAACCUCAUGCAGCAAGUUCCUCUAACACCAAGGCAUUGUGACUAAAUGAAUAUUGUAUUAUAGUUGUUUAUAAUAGUGACCAUUAGGGUCAAAAUAAAACAAACUUCACCAAA